rnacentral:rRNA from 1 species
GACAGAGGGUGCAAACGUUGUUCGGAAUUACUGGGCGUAAAGCGUGUGUAGGCGGUCUCAUAAGUCGGAUGUGAAAGCCCUGGGCUCAACCCAGGAAGUGCACUCGAAACUGCGAGGCUAGAGUACUGGAGAGGUUGGUGGAAUUCUCGGUGUAGAGGUGAAAUUCGUAGAUAUCGAGAGGAACACCGGUGGCGAAGGCGGCCAACUGGACAGAUACUGACGCUGAGACACGAAAGCGUGGGGAGCAAACAGG